UGAGGAAACCACCAGAACUCAUCCACAGACCCCAGUAAGAGGUCAUCUCCUUCAUCUUCUUCUUCUGUUCCUACAGAGAGAAAAAGAGAAUAUCAUUUUUCCCAUUCACGGAGAGAAAACCGAAAAAAAGAGAGAUUAAAUGAUUGCUCAAGGUUAUUCAGAGAGUUAGCGGCCAUCAUCACCUCAGUGUUUCACCGAAAGAGCAGGAAGGAUGAAAUGUGAAGGAAAUGCAUAGAGUCCCAGAUGACGGGAAUUAAGUAUCUCAAUCUCCCAGCCACAGAAGAUCUGCUGUUAUUC